AAAUGCGAUAAGUAAUGUGAAUUGCAGAAUUCAGUGAAUCAUCGAAUCUUUGAACGCACCUUGCGCUCCUUGGUAUUCCUUGGAGCAUGCCUGUUUGAGUAUCAUGAAAUCUUCAAAGUAAAUCUUUUGUUAACUCAAUUGGUUUCUACUUUGGUAUUGGAGGUCUUUGCAGCUUCACACCUGCUCCUCUUUGUUCAUUAGCUGGAUCUCAGUGUUAUGCUUGGUUCCACUCGGCGUGAUAAGUUAUCUAUCGCUGAGGACACUGUAAAAGAUGGCCAAGGUAAAUGCAGAUGAACCGCUUCUAAUAGUCCAUUGACUUGGACAAUACUUUUAUGAUCUGAUCUCAAAUCAGUUAGGACUACCCGCUGAACUUAAGC
rnacentral:misc_RNA from 1 species